rnacentral:rRNA from 1 species
AACGAACGCUGGCGGCAGGCCUAACACAUGCAAGUCGAGCGGACCCUUCGGGGUUAGCGGCGGACGGGUGAGUAACGCGUGGGAACGUGCCCUUUGCUUCGGAAUAGCCCUGGGAAACUGGGAGUAAUACCGGAUACGCCCUUUUGGGGAAAGAUUUAUCGGCGAAGGAUCGGCCCGCGUUGGAUUAGGUAGUUGGUGGGGUAAUGGCCUACCAAGCCGACGAUCCAUAGCUGGUUUGAGAGGAUGAUCAGCCACACUGGGACUGAGACACGGCCCAGACUCCUACGCGAGGCAGCAGUGGGGAAUCUUAGACAAUGGGGGAAACCCUGAUCUAGCCAUGCCGCGUGAGCGAUGAAGGCCUUAGGGUUGUAAAGCUCUUUCACCGGGGAAGAUAAUGACGGUACCCGGAGAAGAAGCCCCGGCUAACUCCGUG